rnacentral:rRNA from 1 species
UCCGGAGGGGGCUAUCGUUAUUCGGAAUUACUGGGCGUAAAGCGCACGUAGGCGGAUUAGAAAGUCAGAGGUGAAAUCCCAGGGCUCAACCUUGGAACUGCCUUUGAAACUCCUAGUCUUGAGAUCGUGAGAGGUGAGUGGAAUUCCGAGUGUAGAGGUGAAAUUCGUAGAUAUUCGGAGGAACACCAGUGGCGAAGGCGGCUCACUGGCACGAUACUGACGCUGAGGUGCGAAAGCGUGGGGAGAAAACAGG